AACAGGUUGAGAUUCCUGUACUAGUUAAACUUGUUUGAACAAUGGAGGGACGCAGAAGGCUAAACGAUCCGGACGAUUGGAAAUGUCCGGUCAAGCAGUGAGGUGUGAGAUGAGUUAAAUGCUUGUUUCUUUAACAUUGAGCUGUGACGAGGACCGAAAUUUAAGUAGGGAAGUCGUUGAUGUCACGCUGCCGAGAAAAGCUUCUAGUUAGAGUUUAAUUACCCGUACCGCAGACCGACACAGGUAGUCGAGGAGAGUAUCCUCAGGUGAGCGAGUGAACUCUCGUUAAGGAACUCGGCAAAAUGACCCCGUAACUUCGGAAUAAGGGGUGCUGCACGCAAGUGUAGCCGCAGUGAAAAGGCCCAGGCGACUGUUUAUCAAAAACACAGGUUUCUGCAAAAUCGUAAGAUGACGUAUAGGGGCUGACGCCUAGCCCAGUGCUGGAAGGUUAAAAGGAUGGGUUAGCGUAAGCGAAGCUCAGAACUGAAGCCCCAGUAACGGCGGCCGUAACCAUAACGGUCCUAAGGUAGCGAAAUUCCUUGUCGGGUAAGUUCCGACCCGCACGAAAGGCGUAAUGAUUUGGGCACUGUCUCGACAAUGCACCCGGUGAAAUUGAAGUACCAGUGAAGAUGCUGGUUACCUGCGCCAGGACGGAAAGACCCCAUGGAGCUUUACUCUAGCUUGAUUCUGGGAUUCGGUACGAUAUGUACAGGAUAGGUGGGAGACUGUGAAGAUAUGACGCCAGUUGUAUCGGAGUCGCUGUUGGGAUACCACCCUUGUCGUAUUGGAUUUCUAACCAUUACCCGUGAUCCGGGUAGGGGACAAAGUCAGGUGGGGAGUUUGACUGGGGCGGUCGCCUCCGAAAGAGUAUCGGAGGCGCUCAAAGGUUCUCUCAGAAUGGUUGGAAACCAUUCGCAGAGUGCAAAGGCAGAAGAGAGCUUGACUGUGACACCGACGGGUGGAGCAGGUACGAAAGUAGGACUUAGUGAUCCGGUGGUAGAAAGUGGGAUUGCCAUCGCUCAACGGAUAAAAGCUACCCUGGGGAUAACAGGCUUAUCACUCCCAAGAGUUCACAUCGACGGAGUGGUUUGGCACCUCGAUGUCGGCUCAUCGCAUCCUGGGGCUGUAGUAGGUCCCAAGGGUUGGGCUGUUCGCCCAUUAAAGCGGUACGCGAGCUGGGUUCAGAACGUCGUGAGACAGUUCGGUCCCUAUCCGGCGUAGGCGAAGGAUAUUUGAGAGGAGCUGUCCUUAGUACGAGAGGACCGGGGAUGGACGAACCUCUGGUGUACCGGUUGCAGAUCAAAUGCAUAGCCGGGUAGCCAAGUUUGGAAGGGAUAAACGCUGAAGGCAUCUAAGCGUGAAGCCCCCCUCAAGAUGAGAUAUCCAAUACGCAAGUAGAGAGACCCCUUGAAGACGACGAGGUAGAUAGGGCAGAGGUGGAAGUGCAGUAAUGUAUGGAGCUGACUGUUACUAAUCGGUC
rnacentral:rRNA from 1 species